CAGAGACUCCCAAGCUGAGGUUCAUCAAAAACUCGAGCCUGAAAGCACACACAUUAGGAUAUUUGCAAUCAGAGCUCAUUGGAAGGAAGUUGUCCAGCACCUGUGAUGCAGCACAGAAGCCCUGGUUUCCUGGUCCCCUUUGCAGCCAGUUAUAUCUGUGUCUGCACCGCACUCUCUGAAAGGUUCCAUUUCAUGCUGCCUCGCAACUCCAGCCACCCGCCUGCUGUUUCAGAGCUCGGAGCACAGCCUGUGGGCCAUGAUGAAUGCUCUGAAGCCAGUGCACUGACUCAUCUGAAGAGAAGCUGAUUGUCACUGAAUAAUUAAACAUCUCCCUUCCCCCAAACAUGAGUUUCAAGAGUGGGAGAAUCAUUUUUCAGGACUGAUGAGCACCGCGGGACUGAUGGCAUAGCCACUGGUCACCAGCAUAGGGGCACACAGACGAACUGGCUCUUUGUUCCACAACAUUCCUAAGGGGAAAGAGAUAAUGCAGCCCAGAAAGUACAUGGCCACAAAGAAACUCAUGAGCAGCAGCCUGGUCUGGGUGUCCUUUUGUACUAGAGGUGACUUUGAGAAAGGCAAGUGCUGUGGCGAUGCCAGGACUGCCCCUUGUGCCUCUACAGGAGAGUCACCAUGUAACCACUCAAAAUAUCCAUGAGUCCUACAGGGGAGACAUCCUGGAAUGUGAGCAAAGUCACUUUUGCCUGACCUGCCUACUUUUACCUCCAAUGGCCAUACCUCAUCUAUGGUGACGAGCAUUCCUCUCUGCUCAACAUAGCUCUUUUUUUUUUCAAUCUUUUUGCAGACAGUUCCUUAGACAGUACUAACUUCAUGGACACUGCUAAUAUUACAAGUCCUCCCUUUUAUGAUGCUCUUUUGAACUUUACAUUUGUACUGAGGCUUCUGACUCUUCUAAGGUCAACAAGUUAAUGAAACCUCUAACCAGAAAUCGAAGUGUUAUUAGGACUAAGACCAUGGAUGUGAAAAGUAUCAAAGGAACACAAUUCCAAUCUCAAACAUUGAAUACCUGGAAGUGAC
rnacentral:lncRNA from 1 species